GCUCAGAACGUACGCUGGCGGCACGCCUAACACAUGCAAGUCGAACGAAGUAGCAAUACUUAGUGGCAGACGGGUGAGUAACAUGUGGGUAUCUACCCUUUGGCCUGGAAUAACACGAGGAAACUUGUGCUAAUACCGGAUAAGUCUUUACGGAGAAAGCUUUAUGCACCAUUGGAUGAGCCCGCACUUGAUUAGUUUGUUGGUAGGGUAAUGGCCUACCAAGACUAUGAUCAAUAGCUGAUUUGAGAGGAUGAUCAGCCACAUUGGGACUGAGACACGGCCCAAACUCCUACGGGAGGCAGCAGUGGGGAAUCUUGCACAAUGGAGGAAACUCUGAUGCAGCGAUGCCGCGUGAGUGAAGAAGGCCUUUGGGUUGUAAAGCUCUUUUGUAGGGGAAGAUAAUGACUGUACCCUAAGAAUAAGGUCCGGCUAACUUCGUGCCAGCAGCCGCGGUAAUACGAAGGGACCUAGCGUAGUUCGGAAUUACUGGGCUUAAAGAGUUCGUAGGUGGUUGAAAAAGUUGGUGGUGAAAUCCCAGAGCUUAACUCUGGAACUGCCAUCAAAACUUUUCAGCUAGAGUAUGAUAGAGGAAAGCAGAAUUUCUAGUGUAGAGGUGAAAUUCGUAGAUAUUAGAAAGAAUACCAAUUGCGAAGGCAGCUUUCUGGAUCAUUACUGACACUGAGGAACGAAAGCAUGGGUAGCGAAGAGGAUUAGAUACCCUCGUAGUCCAUGCCGUAAACGAUGUGUGUUAGACGUUGGAAAUUUAUUUUCAGUGUCGCAGGGAAACCGAUAAACACACCGCCUGGGGAGUACGACCGCAAGGUUAAAACUCAAAUGAAUUGACGGGGACCCGCACAAGCGGUGGAGCAUGUGGUUUAAUUCGAAGAUACGCGCAGAACCUUACCAACCCUUGACAUGUCUGUCGCGAGUUUAGGAAACUAGACUUUUCGGUUCGGCCGGACAGAACACAGGUGCUGCAUGGCUGUCGUCAGCUCGUGUCGUGAGAUGUUGGGUUAA
rnacentral:rRNA from 1 species